rnacentral:misc_RNA from 1 species
AACCCCCUCAAGCGCAGCUUGUUGUUGGGCGUUUGUCCCGCCCCCCGGCCGGACUCGCCCCGAAUCCAUUGGCGGCCCCCGCAUUGGGCUAUCGAGCGCAGCAGACUUUGCGCCUCGGGCACAGCGCGCGGGCGACCACUGAGUGACCCCCAUCCA